rnacentral:lncRNA from 1 species
AAAACAAAAACUUCAAAAUGAGGCCUCAUCUAGUUUCUAUAGAUCUACUCGCAUCCACUAGCAAUUUAUUCACCCUUCUUGUUGUGCUUCCUUGCAUUCCUCUAGUUCUUCAAGAACCUGGGAUCCAUCCCUUUGGUGGAAAGUGUGGCAGUGCUUUCUAGACUUCUUGAUGCCAUUUUUCUGAGCCUUAUAAGACUACGUAUGAGCAUUGGAGUGGAUAAGUCAACGUCAUCUGGUUAUGAGCAUUGGAGUGGAUAAGGUAACAUCAUCACUGGUGGAAUAAGUCUUGUGUUAAGGGAUUCAAGUCAUGUUUGCUACCUUGCAAUAGAGAUUUCAAAAAUACUCAUUACUUUAGCUUCCCACCCGUAGACACCAAAAUUUUAAUGUUUAUUUAAUUCAAUUUUAAAUUUAUUCUUUUAUUUUUAUUUUAUUUUAUUAUUAUUUAUUAUUAUUUUCAUUAUUUUAUUUAAAGUUGCAAAAUAAUAAUUGAUGUUUGUUUUUAUUUUGGUACAUUAAGAUUCACCAUUUUCUUUUCGUUUUAAAACAUUUUUUGCACUAAAUUUCAAAAAAAGAAAAUUCUUAAUAAAAAUUCAUUUUUAUCUUUUUCAAACUCAGUUUUUGCUAAGUGAAAUGACAUUUUGUAAAGCAAUUAGAAAUUAACAUUUAUUUAUCAUAAAUUGGUUUUGAAAAAGAAAAAUACAAAACAAAAAAAUAAUAUGAGGCACACAUGCAAUAGGGCCAAGUGGGGUGCAUGCAAAAGAAACAAGUGUCCCUAUUUUUUUUUUGGACACCACAACAAAGGGAGGGGGUAUGUGGCAAAACACUUGGAGGUUUAGGAAAAUUUGAAAAAAAAACAACAAGAAAAAGGGGAAAGGCUUGGCGGCUGGUGGGAGAGGGAAAAAGGGAGGAAACCAAGCAAGAAAGGGCUGCAGGAAAACUAGAGAAAAAUGCAAGAAAGAAACAAGAGAAAGCGGAGGCCGAGAGAGGAUUUUUUCAGCAAAAGAGAGAACUGAACAAAAAAAAAAAAAAGGAACUGAGAGAAGGAAAAAGAGAGGGUUUCUGAGGGGAAGAGAUAGAGAGGAACCAAGAGUGAGAGAAAGAGGGAGAGAGUGGAGAGUAUAUCUUUGGUUUAUCUUCUUCCAGCCAUAACCAAGAGAGUGGGAAAGAAAACAAGGAGGAAGAAGAGGGAAAUCUGGUGCUAUUCUUCGAGGAACAGAGGGACAAAAAGCUACCGUCACUUCACUGGAAUCCACUGUCAACGCCGACAACCAUCACUGGAAGAGCAGUGUAAUGAUUUCUGUCUCCUUUCUUACCUUUAAUUCUUGUUAGUAAACAUCUGCAAAUGAGAGUUGUUGGUCUGUUGGUUCCUCACCCCUUGCUUCUAGUAAAAAUUUCUCAUGUUUCUCUGAUGUUUAUCUAUGUUAGGAUAUAAUUUCUAUUGUUGAUGGGGGGAGUUUGUUUGGGUCUGCUAUUGCGCAAUUAAUGGAGUCAGUUUAACCUCACUAAUACAUCCGACAUGUUUAAGGCUGCGACGUAAAUUUAAGCCAAGGAAAUCAGUCCGGUGAAAUUCAGCGUGUAUGUGAAAAGAGAACCCAUGAGUGCAACCGGAAAGUUGAGAGAGACAGUCUAUUUGCUGCUGUUUCCUUGCACUUUUUCUGCAUUUUUAUAGUCCCAAGUUACUUCAUUUUUGCUGUUUACUUGCAUUUUUAGGUAUGGCAGCGUCUGAUGGUUCUUUCUUUGACUAUCAUUUAUCCCUAGAACACCAUUUCCUCCUCCUAAAAGCGAGGAACUUGUCUGAUGCUUGGUUUUGGCUGUAUGAUGUGUGCAUGAGUUUGAAAACAACAUCUUGGUUCCUCCCUGUUUUAUGGCAUGAUAGCGCCAAUCCAUACAGAAAUUCUGUUUUGAUAACCUGCUAUGCUUAGGGACAAAAGCCAUUAGAUUUCUUUCAUGCGUGAAACAAGAGGGAAGAGAAUCAUGAGUUUUGGGGUUUAUUGUCUAGUGCUUUUUUUCUGAUUCGAGUCUCUGGUUGCUUUGUUUUCUGGAAAUUUUGGGUCAAAGUUUAGCAAAUGUUCAGGUCACUUUGUUGCCUUUUGUGUCUAGAAACUUGUUGAAUCUUUCCUCUCUCCCUCGUCUCAAGUUCUCGCAUAUUAUGGUUGAAUAAGUUAGGAUUUGCUUGAGUCACUUUGCAUGAAUAUGUUUCGGCUGAAUGAAAACAAGUUGUAGAAAGAAUGGUGGCUGGGAAAUUGAAGAAGCAUAAGCUUGUUCGAAGCUUUGCAUGAGAAACUUUCAAAAAUUACACCUUAACCCCUUAAUGUUUAUCUAUUUGUGUUAUGGUCCAAAAAUUUUUCUAUUUGAACCAAUUUUACCCUUUCUUGACUUCAUGCUUUUUUUUCCAUGUUUUAUGGUUCAUUGGGUAGAUUAAUUCUGGAAUUUAGGAUAGUUAGAGUUAAAUAUUAUUACUUAAUUUUUCUUUGUUUGAAUUUUGUAAAAAAAUAGUUUAGACUUGGGUAAUGUUUUUGUUUGGAGUUUAGUGAGAGGGGUUUUGAUUUAUGUUUGUGAUUUUUAUUAUUUGGAUUUGGUAGGUUUCAUCUUAAGCCCUUAAUUUUAAGUUAUUUCAUUUUAGACCCCUAAUAUUUGUAAUAAUAAUGAUUUGACCUCUCAAAUUUCUUUAAUUCUUUCAAUUGGGUUCUUGUUUGUCUUAAUUUGUUGAAUAUGAGUUGUUUACCUUCAUUAGAAUGCCUUGAUUGAUUCAAUUUCGUGUUUAUUUCUAUUUUUUGUGAUUGUUUGUUAAUUAAAGUGAUGCCUUGACCUUUUUCUUUGUUUUGGAGAGUAAAUAAGAAAAUUUUAUUUCAUUAGAUCACCAAUUCAAGGGAGGUACACUCUACUCCUUUGUUUUAAUUUUACUUGAUCCUAUGUUCUCCUAUGUGACUUUAUGUAUGUAAUUUCAUGUUUUUUUAAUGUUUUUUAUUUCGUCUAUUUACUUAUUCAUUUCAUUUGUUCUAAUUUUAUAUAUUCAUUUUAAUUUAAUUUUUGGUUAUUGGAGAGGCAUUAAAUGCCAAAUUGUAAUAGUUAGCCUUUUAUUUUAUUUCAUUUCAUUCUCUCCCCUUUUAUAUUGUAGUUAGGGUCCCCAAAUGUAAUAGUUAGAUCUUUGUUCGCUUUAUUUACUUUGUGUGUCUUGCAUGCUUGUGUGUUUACGUGUUACUCGCUUUCUUAGGAACUCGCAUCUAGAUAUCAUGUUUAUGUGCUACGUGCUAUAUGUGAUUUAUGUGUUUAUUUACUUUUAUUAUAUUUUAUAUGAUUUAUUUUGUUAUAAUAAAUGCAUGACGUCACCACACUAGUCCAACGCUAGUUGUGACCAUUUUUUUUUCGAUUCCACACUAGUCCAAUGCUAGUCGUG